rnacentral:misc_RNA from 1 species
UUUCCGUAGGUGAACCUGCGGAAGGAUCAUUAGAGAAGCAUGAGGGAUGCUCCGGAGGGCCUCGGUCUGGCUUGCGCCCUUCGGGAGGCGCGCUCAAGACGUUUCACGCCGCACAGGACCCCGUCCGGACAUCCCGAACCAAACCACAACCGUGAACCCGUCGUCCUCGGACGAUACAUCUCCUGGGGUACAGAAAGUGAUACACAUAAACAGUAUAACUGUCAGCAACGGAUCUCUUGGCUCUCGCAUCGAUGAAGAACGCAGC